rnacentral:lncRNA from 1 species
AAAGUCUUAGACACGACCGCCCAUAGCCUGAACUUCCAGGGCAGACUGUCGGCCCCUGGUGGCCGAGCAGCCUUGGCGAUCCUGGGUCUCCACCGCAGCAGCCAAACCCCGCGCGCACCGAGCUACGCUGCUGAAAGAAGUUGGAGAGCUCCCAGUUUGACAGGAAUCUGCGGUGGGCGCGGGCAAUUCCUUCCAGUGCCUCCGUUAGGAAAAGUUUUGAAAAGUAGAGACCUUAGACAGAUAAAAGGAACUCAUCCUGCUCUCGAGCAUAAGAACCACCCCACGCGGGAGGACUGCGCACACAAGGCCAUUGGCCCUGCUGCGGUGGGACGAACCGAGGUCUUUCAGCUCCCCACGGCCCCUGGGCGCGUCCUCAGGGUAUGGAGCCAGGCCAGAGGCCGGUCGGGAGAGCGGGUCCAGACGGAGAUGCCUCCAGGCUCCCCGGCUUGGGGUACGACGGCAGAACCAUCAACUCCUCUGAAGCCUUGGACCUUCUCUUCUUCCAAGGCGGCCAGGGCUUCUCCUAAGGGCGCGCGGCACUCCUCUUUCUACGCUCUACCCCAAACUCUUCUCGGGGAGCCCCGCAAACACAUGGACCCCGAAAACUCCCAGGGCACUCGCCAGUCACCCCCACCUCUGCAUUUCCAACCCUCGUCGAUGCGUUCUUCCCACCCCGCAAAGCUCUCCUCACGUUUCUGGGGAGUCAGAAGCAAACCACAAGAAAAAUGCCUCGAGAAUUCUUACAGGAUAAAGGAAAUUUCUUCAUUGAACUAGCAAAGAAACAGCUGCUGUUCCCACGCCCCCUCUGGUGAGGAGGAAAUUUGCUGUCACACGCUGCUACGCCCGUGUCAGGUGGCAAAAUUCAGGAGAACUGGGCAGAAGAGAGGACCAAGUGGUAGCGAUGUCUUUCUAUCAUCCCUGCAUCAGAACAGUGGCGCAGCAGUGGAGGAGACUGCUAGUUCUCUCUCAGCGUGUGUCCCCUUCCUUCCUUCCUUUUUACAGAUUCAGCAAGCUUUACCUGAACUCAGUGUCUAUUUAAGACAUAGCACUGUUCCACCGUGACAAGGAUCUCUGAGUUGUCUCCUGGUGAGCGCUCACUUCUCCAUCAUCCCUCAUCCUUUCAAGCCACCG